rnacentral:rRNA from 1 species
GACGAACGCUGGCGGCGUGCCUAAUACAUGCAAGUAGAACGCUGAAGAGAGGAGCUUGCUCUUCUUGGAUGAGUUGCGCACGGGUGAGUAACGCGUAUGUAACCUGCCUGGUAGCGGGGGAUAACUAGUGGAAACGAUAUCUAAUACCGCAUAAAAUUGAUUAUUGCAUGAUAAUUAAUUGAAAGAUGCAACUGCAUCACUACCACAUGGACCUUCGUUGUAUUAGCUAGUUGGUGAGGUAACGGCUCACCAAGGCGAGGUAACAGAGCCGCCCUGAGAGGGUGAGUAGCCGGCCUGGGAGGGUGACAGGGCCCAGUCGCCCACGGGAGGGAGCCGGAGGGAAACUGCGGCAAGGGGGGGAAACCUGAGCGAGAUACGCCGAGGGAGGGAAGAAGGAUGUCGGGUCGUAAAGCUCGGUUGUAGGGGAAGAACGGGUGUGAGAGUGGAAAGUUCACUCUGUGACGGUAACUGACAAGAAAGGGACGGCUAACUACGUG